UUAAGCUAGAAAGGGCGCACGGUGGAUGCCUUGGCACUAGGAGCCGAUGAAGGACGGGGCAAACGCCGAAACGCUCCGGGGAGCUGUAAGCAAGCGUUGAUCCGGAGAUGUCCGAAUGGGGGAACCCACUGUCCGUAAUGGGGCAGUAUCCAUGCCUGAAUCCAUAGGGCAUGGAGGGCACACCCGGGGAACUGAAACAUCUUAGUACCCGGAGGAGAAGAAAGCAAACGCGAUUCCCUGAGUAGCGGCGAGCGAAACGGGAACAGCCCAAACCAAGAGGCGUGCCUCUUGGGGUUGUAGGACCGCUCAUUGUGGGAGUGAGAAAGGAACGGGGUAGACGAACCGGUCUGGAACGGCCGGCCAGAGAAGGUGACAGCCCUGUAGUCGAAACUUCGUUCCCUCCCGAGCGGAUCCUGAGUACGGCGGGACACGGGAAAUCCCGUCGGAAGCAGGGAGGACCAUCUCCCAAGGCUAAAUACUCCCUAGUGACCGAUAGUGCACCAGUACCGUGAGGGAAAGGUGAAAAGCACCCCGGAAGGGGAGUGAAAGAGAACCUGAAACCGUGUGCCUACAAGUAGUCAGAGCCCGUUUAUGGGUGAUGGCGUGCCUUUUGUAGAAUGAACCGGCGAGUGACGAUGGCGUGCGAGGUUAAGCCGAAGAGGCGGAGCCGCAGCGAAAGCGAGUCUGAACAGGGCGAAAAGUACGUCGUCGUCGACCCGAAACCAGGUGAUCUACCCAUGUCCAGGGUGAAGGCCGGGUAACACCGGCUGGAGGCCCGAACCCACACACGUUGAAAAGUGCGGGGAUGAGGUGUGGGUAGGGGUGAAAUGCCAAUCGAACUUGGAGAUAGCUGGUUCUCCCCGAAAUAGCUUUAGGGCUAGCCUCGGGAUGGAGAGUGUUGGAGGUAGAGCACUGAUUGGGCUAGGGGCCCUCAUCGGGUUACCGAACCCAGUCAAACUCCGAAUGCCAACGACUUAUGCCCGGGAGUCAGACUGCGAGUGAUAAGAUCCGUGGUCGAGAGGGAAACAGCCCAGAUCGCCAGCUAAGGCCCCAAAGUGCACGUUCAGUGGAAAAGGAUGUGGAGUUGCAAAGACAACCAGGAUGUUGGCUUAGAAGCAGCCACCAUUUAAAGAGUGCGUAAUAGCUCACUGGUCGAGUGACUCUGCGCCGAAAAUGUACCGGGGCUAAACGUGCCGCCGAAGCUGCGGGAUGACCGCUGGUCAUCGGUAGGGGAGCGUUCUAAGCGCGCCGAAGCGAGACCGGAAGGACUCGUGGAGCGCUUAGAAGUGAGAAUGCCGGUGUGAGUAGCGAAAACAGAGGUGAGAAUCCUCUGCACCGAAAGCCUAAGGGUUCCUGAGGAAGGUUCGUCCGCUCAGGGUUAGUCGGGACCUAAGCCGAGGCCGAAAGGCGUAGGUGAUGGGCAACAGGUUGAGAUUCCUGUACCACCUCCUCACCGUUUGAGCAAUGGGGGGACGCAGGAAGGUAGGGCGAGCAGGCUGCUGGAAUAGCCUGUCCAAGCGGUUAGGCUGCCAGAUAGGCAAAUCCGUCUGGCAUAAAGGCUGAGCCGUGAUGGCGAAGGGACCAUCGGUCCCGAAGUCCCCGAUCCUACACUGCCAAGAAAAGCCUCUAGCGAGGUGAGAGGUGCCCGUACCGCAAACCGACACAGGUAGGCGAGGAGAGAAUCCUAAGGUGCGCGGGAGAACUCUCGUUAAGGAACUCGGCAAAAUGACCCCGUAACUUCGGGAGAAGGGGUGCUCUCUUGGGUGAUGAGCCCGAGAGAGCCGCAGUGAAAAGGCCCAAGCGACUGUUUAUCAAAAACACAGGUCUCUGCGAAGCCGAAAGGCGACGUAUAGGGGCUGACACCUGCCCGGUGCUGGAAGGUUAAGGGGAGCGCUUAAGCCGCAAGGCUGAAGGUGCGAACCGAAGCCCCAGUAAACGGCGGCCGUAACUAUAACGGUCCUAAGGUAGCGAAAUUCCUUGUCGGGUAAGUUCCGACCCGCACGAAAGGUGUAACGACUUGGGCACUGUCUCAACGAGAGACCCGGUGAAAUCAUACCACCUGUGAAGAUGCAGGUUACCCGCGACAGGACGGAAAGACCCCGUGGAGCUUUACUGCAGCCUGAUAUUGAAUUUUGGUAUCGCUUGUACAGGAUAGGUGGGAGCCUGAGAAGCCGGAGCGCCAGCUUCGGUGGAGGCGCCGGUGGGAUACCACCCUGGCGGUAUUGAAAUUCUAACCCGCACCCCUUAUCGGGGUGGGAGACAGUGUCAGGCGGGCAGUUUGACUGGGGCGGUCGCCUCCCAAAAGGUAACGGAGGCGCCCAAAGGUUCCCUCAGAAUGGUUGGAAAUCAUUCGGAGAGUGCAAAGGCACAAGGGAGCUUGACUGCGAGACGGACAGUGUAAAUUAGCACAUUAUUUCAGAAUCACUUUUUCAAAUUAUUUCAGAUGGAUUCUGAAAUAAUGUGCAAAAUUUUUGCGGAUUGUUCCGGAUUUUGCACAUUCUUUCGGAACGUUUGCACGCUCUUUCAGAUGAAGAUUUCCAGCGCGCCUGAUGGACCGAUGGAAAAGAGAAAGCACAAAAGAGGCCGAUUCGGCCCCUUUCGUGCUAAUACCCCAUUUCCUCUGCGGCCAUGCGCACCACUUCUUCGUCAAUGGCGUCCUUUUUCAGCUGAUACCCGUAUAACAGGCACGUCGUGGCCAACGUGUUGAUCACCCGAGGCCAUCCCCGUGACUGCAGGGCAAUCGCCUCUAACGCCGAUGGGGUGAAGAUCGGAUGCUUGGCCCCGGCCUGUUUCAUCCGAUGUUCGAUGUAGCCCGCCACCUCUUCCUU
rnacentral:rRNA from 1 species